CAGCAGCCGCGGUAAUACGAAGGGUGCAAGCGUUAAUCGGAAUUACUGGGCGUAAAGCGUGCGUAGGUGGUGUUUAAGUCCGUUGUGAAAGCCCUGGGCUCAACCUGGGAAUUGCAGUGGAUACUGGAUCACUAGAGUGUGGUAGAGGAUAGUGGAAUUUCCGGUGUAGCAGUGAAAUGCGUAGAGAUCGGAAGGAACAUCUGUGGCGAAGGCGACUAUCUGGGCCAACACUGACACUGAGGAACGAAAGCGUGGGGAGCAAACAGGAUUAGAGACCCGCGUAGUCCCUGUCUCUUAUACC
rnacentral:rRNA from 1 species